UUAAUUGAAGCCAAAAUAGAGGCAUAUCACUGUUAAUGAUAUAAAUGAAUAAAAAUUCCAAUUAAA
rnacentral:tRNA from 1 species